AGCGUGUACGUCUGCAGACUGCAAGACAGGGGCGUAACUUGAAAGAGGCGUAACUUGAAGUAGGAGGCGUAACUUGAAGUUGUCGAAAUCUCACAGAAUCACGCGAGAUGUCAAAAUGAUAACUUGUUGGCUGCUUUCAGUAGGGCACAGAGUAGAAUAUUGAUUACGUUUUUUAAGGAAAGCAGGGGUUUUUAGGCAGGAUUUGAUGCAUAAGGUGUGUGUAGAUAUUAAUGGUAGGGGACAAUGUGAGUGAUGCGUACCUUUAGUAGGAAAACCUAUUAUCUGAUCCACACUCCGGGACAGAAGAAGGCGGUAUUGCACCAAUAAGCUGGAUGCCAACCGCCGUUAAACUGGAAAGAAGUUACAAUGAGUUACAAUGGAACAGAUUAUGUUUGUCUGCUGUAGAGUGACUGAUGAAGGAAUGCUGCCAUCAAAGGAUUUGUAUCUUUUGUGGUGGAGCAGGACCCUGCAAGGAAAGGGAAAAAAAGGAAAAACCUGAAACAAAAGAAUAAAGUAAUGACUUUUUGUAUUGUGUGUGUGUAUUUCUGUAGGUUAUGAAAAUGUCUGCAGACUGGUGUGUGCACUGAGGAUGGAGAAGUCCACUGCAGCAUCCGGAAAUGGUCCAGAGACACGGAUGAGACGCUCCAUCACUGCAGCUCUUACUGUCUCAUCAGGACCAGAUGCUGCUGUGGUCUCUUCAUCAUCAGCGACCCCAGAGCAGCGAGAGCAUCUAGAGAAAACACCAAAAGACACUGAGGAUUUGAUUUUGGUAAAGUUUGUUCUGCUGGUUUCUGUUUAUAAGACGAAGGCUGACUUUCAGAAGCUUCAAAAGCAUCAUCAAAAAAUGUGAUGGAGCUUUUAUCUGAAGUGAUUGACAGUGCUCUUAUUACAGAGGCCUACAAUCCUCUGAUCAAGCUGGAGAAAAGAGCCGUGCUCAAGCACAGUUUUGAACCAGUUCAGUGGUUUAGCACACUACAAAAGUAAUAAAUCAAUGCAUGUACUUGUAAACUCUGUGUAAAUGUUUUACAGGUAGUGGUGCUCAUGGAGAGCAGCACACGAUUGUUUGGAGCAGACACAGCAGCAGUCAGAUUGUCCCGCAUGUGUUCUUCUGCUCGUUUCAAGGUUGUGUGGUUCAGAGAGCCGUCAUCAAGGUCUUCCUCAUCCUGUUGCUCAACGACAUCCCCGUUGAGAAGAGUGAGAUUCUGAAGCACAGCGCAGCAGCAGAACUGUCUCAGCUGUGUUGAGAUGAUAGUAAGAUGUGG